rnacentral:rRNA from 1 species
GAUGAACGCUGGCGGCGUGCCUAAUACAUGCAAGUCGAGCGAACAGACGAGAAGCUUGCUCCUCUGAUGUUAGCGGCGGACGGGUGAGUAACACGUGGAUAACCUACCUAUAAGACUGGGAUAACUUCGGGAAACCGGAGCUAAUACCGGAUAAUAUUUUGAACCGCAUGGUUCAAUAGUGAAAGACGGUCUUGCUGUCACUUAUAGAUGGAUCCGCGCUGCAUUAGCUAGUUGGUAAGGUAACGGCUUACCAAGGCAACGAUGCAUAGCCGACCUGAGAGGGUGAUCGGCCACACUGGAACUGAGACACGGUCCAGACUCCUACGGGAGGCAGCAGUAGGGAAUCUUCCGCAAUGGGCGAAAGCCUGACGGAGCAACGCCGCGUGAGUGAUGAAGGUCUUCGGAUCGUAAAACUCUGUUAUUAGGGAAGAACAUAUGUGUAAGUAACUAUGCACAUCUUGACGGUACCUAAUCAGAAAGCCACGGCUAACUACGUG